rnacentral:lncRNA from 1 species
UUGUUAACCACUGAGCCACAGUAGGAACUCCUCAUCUCAUGUUUUCAUCGGUAGUUUAUACAGCUUCUGGUCAUUGUGAUCUGUCUGUUCUUUGAUUCACAAAUGCUUUAAUAUAUUUGUAACAAGUACACAUACCAUGUUUUAUAAAGUAAUGAAAUGCAAUAUGCAUAAUUAGAGUUCUAGAAAUAAUUCAGGUGAGUUUUAAUUCCUGAUCUUUCAUUUCUUAAUUUUUCCAUGUUAAUAGAGACCUAAAUUAUAUUUUGUACAUACUGAAAUUCAUAGAUAUUUUCUUAUAUUUAUAAAUUGCUAUGCAUAUAUAUAAUUGCUUUAUUAUUUGCUCAAACAGGACCAUGGUAUGUAUGAAAUCUCUAUUAAAUCUCUUUUUUUGGUCAUUUUUCUCCACUUGUAUGUGGCACACCCAGUCAAGUCUGGGAAAUGAGGGCUGGCAAGUGCACCUCCAGAGAUGUCAGCGUGAUCACUGUCGUUUGAGGCGUCUGCAAGGGAUGUGUGAUGGUGUGAUGAGAAUGAAAUCAAGGUAUUACAGUUAUUCUUUGCAGGGAGGAGCAGGGAGGGAAAAAAAAGCCAUCUUGUCCGCACCUGGAGUCUCCUCAUUUACUGUUACUGUAUUGGCUGGGUAUGAGUACCUCAAGCCCUACACACCCGACUGAGAACUUCCGUUUCUGUAACCCUUUUUACUGGAAAAUAGGAAAAUCUUCCCAGGUGAGCAUAUGCUUGAAUCCUAGCAAAUGCCUCCAUGUUAUUUCAUGGUGUAGCUAGCAUAAAGUCUAACCAGUCUUUUGGAAUUGAACUCAUAAGUGUAUUUUUAACCCUUUCACAUUUCUUUUUCAACUUUUUUUUUGGCGGGGGAGUACUCCCAUGGGAUGUGGAAGUUCCCAGGCCAGGGAUAAAACCCCGUACCCCAGCUGUGACAGUGCUAGGUCCUUUAACUACUAGGCCACCAGGAAACUCCUUAAAUUGAAAUUUUAAACCUGCUUUUGAUUACCAAAUUCAGAAGAUUAAUGUGAGAGAAGUAAGACCUUAGUAUUAAGUGAUUCAAAAUAGUAUUUCUGUUUCAUGGGUGCUAAAAUAUACCUGCACAUGGAACAGAAUUCAGAACUCCGUGAAAGAGCUGGUGUCCAGAGGGUUGAUGUCACACAGCACAGGUAGAGCAGUUGGAGCUGGACAGUGGCUGUGCUUCUAAUGUGAGCUCUCCAGCUUUGGAUCUUAAUUCCUCCUAACAGGGAUGGUUCGAUCCCUCUUUCUCAGGUUACAGGUUUGAUACAAUAUCCUGCUCCCUAAAGUAAAAAGUUUUUUUCCAGCUAGCCUUCAUCUAGAUGUGGAUGGUUUAGCUAGAGUAAGUAUGCUUAGCGGUCGAAUUGCUUAUGCUUCCUUCCUGUCUCCCCAUCCGCCGUUGUGCUGUGUUAGACUAAGCAAAUCCCUUAUUCCAGACAGAUUGGAUUUCCUGGGAGGAUGUAGGAGGAAACCAUGGCAGAAAGGCCUCUGGUCUCCCAGGGAGGAAGAAUGAAGGGCAAAGGCUUCUAGAAUCCUUUUAAAACAUGAGAUGGCAUGACAGUUGUCAGUGAGAGAAUUAAGGUUUUUUUCCUUAAAACUUUGUCACUUACAAAAUGGGUUUGUGUUCUGAGUGUUACAGAGCAUGAUAUUUUGAAAAAAGUCUUUCCCUGGGAGUUCCCAUUGUGGCUCAGUGGUAAUGAACCCAACUGAUAUCCAUGAGGUUGCAGGUUCAAUCCCUGGCCUUGCUCAGUGGGUUAAGGAUCCAGCAUUGCUGUGAGCUGUGGUGUAGGUCGCAGAUGCAGCUCAGAUGUGGCAUUGCUGUGGCUGUGGCGCAGGUCGGCAGCUGCAGCUCCGAUUCAACCCCUAGACUGGGAACCUCCAUAUGCUGCAGGUGUGGCCCUAAAAAGACAAAGAAGAAGAAAAAAGUCUUUCUCUUAGUCACUCCCAUAAACUGAUAAUUUUAAAUUUGCUGAACCGCAAGGAGUCUGUCAUGCCCAUCAGUAAAUACAUGUCAUGAGGCCCAGGUGUUUAGGGAUAAAACCAUUUGCUCAAGUGCAGGACUGUGUGUGGCCGUCAGCUGCACAUUACUGCUUGUGAAAAGGAAAAGAUUCUUAACUUUUCUACUGAUUUCCUUUUCUUUGGACUUUGUGUUUCAGUCCCUUUUCAUCCCCGAACCAGCCCUUUACCCAGCCUGGACCAGCUUGUUGUCUAGGCUUCCCUGGGAAGAUCUGUGCUUUGGCUUGAUUCUCCCUCUACUGCAGGAAGAGACUGAGCUUGCCCAGGGGCCGGCUUGGGGGGAAGCCGCCCUCACCGCUUGCCUGCGCUUCUCUGCCCAGGUGUGUGUGAGAUGUUUGACCUCGAGAUUAUGAUUGCCAUUGGUGGCAGCUUGCUGAUGACCGCAUUUGUGCUGAUGGCUGUUGUCGUCUGUCUUUACUACAAAAUGGCCAGCACAUCAAAGUGAGUGAUGUGGCUGCGAGCGGCCAACACCCCCUCCAGUGGGAUCCCCCCGAGGCUCUGCUUGAGCAGGGUCACUCCUUGCCCUGCGGCCACGCCCUGGGGAGUCAGGAACAGCGGGAGGCUGGAGAAGACAAAGGCAGGGAGUGUAGAAUCUUGGCUUCCACCCCUUCUGGUUUGGGGCUGUGAGCUCAUAAGGAGGAAGUUCUCGGCCUGGUGGCUCUGCAGCUUUGCUGUCACUUGACCUCUGGGGUCUCCCCUCAGCUGGCUGGGGCCACAGCUCUGCAGACUGAAGACUGUGAGUGAGCCUCUGCCUCUGUUCUCCCAGUCAGUCUCCUCCCGCCUGAGUUGGGGAGCUCUCGGGGGGGUCCCCUCAUUCAUGGCCGUGGGGACGGGGAGGAGGGCCCGGAGAGCUCUGGGGAAGCUGAGCUGUGUGGGAUCCUGGGGGAGCUGACAAGGGGUGUAGAUCAGACAAGAGAGCCUUAAAUUUGGGGGGAAGGAACGUCAAGUAUGGGAGACAUUGGCCGUCAGAGGCAGUGGUGUUCCCGUUGUAGGGAAGUUCAGCCUGCAAGCUGGAAGGUAAAUCCCAGAACGCGGGGACAGCGACUUUGGCCCAUCCUGGGUCGGCUCUGCACCUGGCAGAUUGCAGCAACCAUGGGGGACCCCUACUUCUCUCCCCCUAAUUUGCUGUGACUGGAUCUUACAUUUGUGGCAAUCCUAGGAGAGGAAGGGGCUGGGCAGGAAGGUGGGACAGGGCAGAGCACUUGAAUCUUGGGCUGGUGUCCUGUGUUUGACUGGCUCUGGCCCUAAACUUCCCAGAGACCCCUGACAAUGGUAACAGACGACUGAGAUAGAAAUUCUAAUCCCAUGUUUUGUGUAUGUUUUUCAAGUGUGGCAAAGGCGCCCAUGGCUAGGGCCAAAACCAGUGGUAAUCGAGACAAGGUCACCGAGGCUACCUCGUCCACCCCUGAGUCUUAUCCCAGCCUCCAGUGCUGCGAAGAAUGUGGCUUGUCUGCCGACUUUGAUCCUCCACUGUGCUUCUGUGACAUGAACAAGGGAACCCUGAAUACAAAGUGAUUAGUAGAAGGUAGUUGUAAACACUGACUGCUACGUACAACCAGCUGCAGAAAUAAGGACUCUGUCAUGAAUAUUUCCUCCUCAUCUGUUAUGAAUACGCUGUGUUUGUGUUUACAUAUAUUAAGCAAAUAUCUUUGUUUUCUUCCCUCUCUUUUCCCCGUAUCAUAUCAUGUAACAUAAGAGAUACUAACUUUAUAUCAGCAUUUAGUAUUUAAUUUUACAUCUUAGUGAUUGAGUUAUGGGAAAUCAGGAAAAUAGUAAACAUCACUCAAGAACUUACCUCCUUGGCUGAAGAAGGAACUACUGGAGUUCCCGUCGUGGCUCAGUGGUUAACAGAUCUGACUAGGAACCAUGAGGUUGCAGGUUUGAUCCCUGUCCUUGCUCAGUGGGUUAAGCAUUUGGCGUUGCCGUGAGCUGUGGUGUGGGUCACAGACAUGGCUCGAAUCCCAAGUUGCUGUGGCUCUGGUGUAGGCUGGCAGCUACAGCUCCAAUUAGACCCCUAGCCUGGGAACCUCCAUAUGCUGCAGGUGUUGCCCUAAAAAGCACACGCACACACACACACAUUCAGGUUUCAUUAGCAGCACCAGCAGAGGGCAUGGAGACACAGCAGAAAGAAGAGUUGAGAGACAGUACGGUCCUACUGUAUAGCACAGGGAUAUAGCUAAUAUGAGAUAGAUCGUGAUGGAAAAUAUAUUAAAAAUAUUAUUUUGAUAGGGUUGUUCUGAAGAUUCAAUAGAAUGUCCUAGAGGAAAGAUCUUAAUUUAGAGACAAAUAAGGUAAAAAUAUAAGCUUCUGAGAGGAUUAGCUUCUCACAAUACAGUGCUUACCAGUAAGAUGAAGUUGCAAUAAUUUUCAGAGCAGUCCUUUUCUCAGACUUCUAAAAAAUACUUUCUUGAAAAUAAGAAUUCUCCUAAUGGUCUGCAUGACAUUAAAGUCUUGGUCACUUCAGUGUUUUGAAUCUCAUCACAGAGUGGUAUAUAUACAUCAUCACAAAAUCCUAGUGAAUGUGAACAGUCAGUAGAGCUGCACUUUGAUAUAAAAGAUUCGGGAAGGUCCAAAGCUUAAGAAGACAUUUUCUUCAAGCCUUGUAACAGUUUUUCUCUUCCAUGUUAAGUUGAGCAAGUCAGUUGGCUAUUCUUAUCACAAGAUUGUGUGCUUAUAACAAAAUCUCAAAAUAACAGUGACUGGAACAAGUACGAAUUUGAUUUUUCUCAUCUUCAAGAUGCCCAGCAGCAGGCAGUCAGGCCGGCUGUCUUUCCUGUGUCGGGGCCGUGAUGCUCUGGUGUGGCUUCUUUUCCCAAAGUCGUAUCCUGGUCCAAGAAGACUGCUGGGUCCCUAACCUUCAUGUCCAAAUUCUGGACAACAGGAAGGAGGCUGGAAGGAGCUGUGCAGCCCACCUCUGUUUGAAGUCCUGGGCCAGACAGGACUGAAUCUCAUGGUCUUCAGGAAAAGCUCAGAAAUAGCGUUAGUUCCAGGCGUGAAUUGCAUGGUAAACAUCGGUGUUGUAACAGGUGUCGCCUGUCAGGAGCCCUCUCCACCUCAAACAUGACGUGAUUAUUUCUGACUCUUCUAAAAAUGCGUAUAAAACACGUUUUGAUUCUGUUAAUUCACAUCUCUGCAGUAGUGCAUUAACAUUUAAUGUGGCUCUUGUCCUGAGUGUCAUGUUUUUAACCCAUUAGUGAGCUCUUACAUCUCAGACAUGAGUGAAAGCAUGUGCCACUUACUUAGAACAGUGCCUGAGUUGUGUUCAUAAAUGUUAGCCUGGCUCUAAGCACCGCAGAGGGCAGCAAGAUUCAACCCUGACUGCUCUAGGUCCUUCCACUGAGCCUCUAGAACCCCCUUCUAUGCACCGCCUCAUCUGUAGCCACAAUCUGUACUUCUUGUGAUAAUAGAACCCUUGUUUUGAGCAGUUCAUGCUUAAAGAGUUAACUAGUGACAGGAGGUUACCUACUAGAAGAGAUUAAAAAAAGGAUAAAUAGGAAGUGAAGGAAGAAGCUACGCCCUCUGGGAUGAACAAUGAUGGAAUUAAACAUCUUCCAAAGGUCCCUCCCCACUGAGUUUCAGUCUUCUCAACACAGGGCUUGGCGGAUGGCAUAGUCAGGAUUGUAAUGACAGCAGAAUUUGCCAGAAGGGCUCUCUUUUUGGUGUGGCUGAGAAACACCAGUGGGUGAGUGCUGUCGGCCCCAGUACAAGUUUUUAAGAUGUAAAUUCAGGACUGCAUCCUCCCUGGAGGUGCUCAGUAACCCUCCGCCUCGAGUUCCAGGGCAUUGCUCUGCCUCUCUUCUGGCAUCUAUUCCGUCUCAUUUGUCCCCAUGUGCUCCAACUUUCUCUUGCCACCAGGAAGCUCCAUAUCAUACACAGCACAUCCGAUUCCCUCUGCACCCCACCCAGGGGCAGUACAAUGUCCAGCUUUGGGAGGCCAUGACACGCAUGUUCCGUGUGUGGGAAUAUGUCUCAUGUCCAGGCCUCACAGGUGCACCAUGGAAGCAGGAUGGGGCAAGGGGUCUUUGGGACAACUUUCUGGUAGACGGUAGGGACAGAGCUUGUAACCUGGGCUUUCGAGCCAAGGAGAUCUUGUUCAAAUCCAACUCUGCCUUUCACUCUGUGAGCCUCGGUUUCCCAGCUGCAAAAUGCAGGCUAGCACAGGUGACCAUUGAAUGAGAUGAGGUUUGUCAUGUUUGCCAGACUUGGAUCUGAGUCCAAAGGUAAGAAAUUGAACCAGGUUUUACAAACAAAACAGGGCCAUUCAAGAGGCACCUGCGAGGGGUUCUCUGGUGGCCUAGUGUUUAAAGAGCCAGUGUUGUGGCUGCUGUGGCUCAGGUUACUGCUGUGGUGUGGGUUUGAUCCUGGCCCGGGAACUUCUGCAUGCUGCUGGCAUGGCCAAAAAAAAAAAAAAAA